UACAGGGGGUGCAAACGUUGCUCGGAAUCAUUGGGCGUAAAGCGCACGUAGGCGGUCUGUUAUGUCGGAUGUGAAAGCCCUUGGCUCAACUGAGGAAGUGCAUCCGAAACUGGCAGGCUAGAGUACGAAAGAGGAUCGCGGAAUUCCCGGUGUAGAGGUGAAAUUCGUAGAUAUCGGGAGGAACACCUGUGGCGAAAGCGGCUCACUGGACCACAACUGACGCUGAUGCGCGAAAGCGUGGGGAGCGAACAGG
rnacentral:rRNA from 1 species